rnacentral:tRNA from 1 species
GACACUUUAGUACAGUGGGAGUUACGCUCGCCUGAAGAGCGAGAGGUCGUGGGCUCGAAUCCCACAAGUGUCA